rnacentral:lncRNA from 1 species
GGGGGCAUGAAUUACCACGAGUACAAAGGGCACUUUAGCAUUUGGGCUUUGAUGAAGGCAAAUCCCCAAUCAAACUCAUAAUUAUGUUUUCUGAGUCCUCUCUCUCUUUUUUUUCUUUUUCUCUUUUUGAUUGUCUGACUGAAUGCUUUUAUCUAAUCCCUUUUCGAAAAAAUUUCUCCUUAGGACUGUUUUAUUUUUCUUUUUGAUUGUCUGACUGAAUACUUGUAUCUAUUCCCUUUUCGAAAAAAUUUCUCCUUAGGACGUCAAAUUUGUGAUGGAACCGCUCUUCAGUGAAAUUGUUUGCUGGUUUAAAUGGUGUAUGUGUGUAAAUGAAAUAAGGAUAAGAAUAGGGAGAUGAACCAGUUUUUAGAAGUUUUAAUGUGUAUAUGUCAUUACUUAAGUCCAUCAUAUUGGAUGUGUUUGUUUAUUCCCCCUUCUAAAAGAAAUUAUCAUGGUACCUAUAUGAGAAAACAACUCGCUUUAUGUUGGGCUAUUCAUGCAAAGAGACAGUGCAGUGGCUUUGUGUGCUUCAACCCUCUUACUUCAUG